rnacentral:rRNA from 1 species
UACGUAGGGGGCUAGCGUUGUUCGGAAUUACUGGGCGUAAAGCGCACGCAGGCGGAUUUAUAAGUCAGGGGUGAAAUCCCGGGGCUCAACCUCGGAAUUGCCUUUGAUACUGUCUAUCUUGAGUCCGGGAGAGGUGAGUGGAAUUCCUAGUGUAGAGGUGAAAUUCGUAGAUAUUAGGAAGAACACCAGUGGCGAAGGCGGCUCACUGGCCCGGUACUGACGCUCAUGUGCGAAAGCGUGGGGAGCUAACAGG